rnacentral:rRNA from 1 species
AGGGCACCACCAGGAGUGGAGCCUGCGGCUUAAUUUGACUCAACACGGGAAAACUUACCUGGUCAGGACACUGGAAGGAUUGACAGAUUGAGAGCUCUUUCUUGAUUCAGUGGGUGGUGGUGCAUGGCCGUUCUUAGUUGGUGGAGCGAUCUGUCUGGUUAAUUCCGAUAACGAACGAGACUCUAGCCUAUUAAAUAGACGUCGGGUUCUCUGCACUCGACGGUCUUCUUAGAGGGACAAGGUGCUUUUAGCACCGCGAAACAGAGCAAUAACAGGUCUGUGAUGCCCUUAGAUGUCCGGGGCCGCACGCGCGCUACACUGGAGGAAGCAGCGUGUAACAACCUUGUUCUAACGAACUGGGUAACCCGUGGAACUUCCUUCAUGAUUGGGAUAGGGGUUUGCAAUUGUGCCCCUUGAACGAGGAAUUCCCAGUAAACACUAGUCAUCAGCUAGUGCUGAUUACGUCCCUGCCCUUUGUACACACCGCCCGUCGCUACUACCGAUUGAAUGGUUUAGUGA